AGAGACAGAGACAUGGACAGAGAUGGGGACAGGGACAGAGACAUGGACAGGGACAGAGACAUGGACAGAGACAGGGGACAGGGACAGAGACAUGGACAGAGACAGAAAUGGACAGAGACGGGGACAGAGACAUGGACAGAGACAGGGACAGAGACAGAGACAUGAACAGAGACAGAGACAUGGACAGAGACAGGAACAGAGACAUGGACAGAGACAGGGACAUGGACAGAGACAUGGACAGAGACAGAGACAGAGACAUGGACAGAGACAUGGAAAGGGACAGAGACAGGGACAGAGACAGGGACAGAGACAUGGACAGAGACAGGGACAGAGACAGGGACAGAGACAUGGACAGAGACAGAGAAAUGGACAGAGACAGAGACAGAGACAUGGACAGAGAUGGGGACAGGGACAGAGACAUGGACAGGGACAGAGACAUGGACAGAGACAGGGGACAGGGACAGAGACAUGGACAGAGACAGAAAUGGACAGAGACAGAGACAUGGACAGGGACAGAGACAGAGACAUGAACAGAGACAGGGACAGGGACAGAGACAUGGACAGAGACAGGGACAGAGACAGAGACAUGGACAGAGACAGAGACAUGGACAGAGACAUGGAAAGGGACAGAGACAGAGACAGAGACAGGGACAGAGACAGGGACAGAGACAUGGACAGAGACAUGGACAGGGACAGAGACAUGGACAGAGACAGAGACAUGGACAGAGACAUGGACAGAGACAGGGACAGAGACGGGGACAGAGACGGGGACAGAGACAG
ensembl:lncRNA